GAACAGCGUCUGUUAGGGACUCUUAGAAUUCCCUUUGCAACCCGGCAACGCUGGUACAUGGAUGUACCAGCGAGGCACAAUCUGAAUAUGGAUAUGAAUUUGUGCCGGUUGCCGCAAAUCAAAUAUCUUUGCAGGAAUUCUUAGAGUCCCUUCAGACAAAGUGU
rfam:Roseburia sp. CAG:45 genomic scaffold, scf30